rnacentral:misc_RNA from 1 species
GAAAUGCGAUAAGUAGUGUGAAUUGCAGAAUUCAGUGAAUCAUCGAAUCUUUGAACGCACAUUGCGCCCCUUGGUAUUCCAUGGGGCAUGCCUGUUCGAGCGUCAUUUGUACCCUCAAGCUCUGCUUGGUGUUGGGUGUUUGUCCCGUCUCCGCGCGUGGACUCGCCCCAAAGUGAUUGGCAGCCGGCGUACUGGUCCCGGAGCGCAGCACAUGUCGCGCAAACGAGUGCCUUGGUACGGCGGCGUCCAUAAGCCCCUCUCUCACGCUCUUGACCUCGGAUCAGGUAGAGAUACCCGCUGAACUUAGGC